UUCCACUCAUGAGGCAGUAUUUACUGGCUGCAGAGAUGACAUCCGGGUACCUCAGACAUCAAGGACUCUUUACUUCCUCUUAUACUAUGUGAAGUUCCUCUCGGUCCCUUACAAUUUCCUUUUCUUGGGACUGCUUAUCAAUUCAGAUCAACUUUGACAUCAACAAUAGCUCAUUUAAUAAGAUUACAGGGUGUAUAAAAAUAGAACAAAGGCAAACAGAAGUAAAAUAGUAAGAACUAGGCCUAACAAGGGCUAAAUCCACUAUUGGGGUUUUCAAUUGUGUUCAGCCCACUCAAGAAAGCCAUGUUGGGGAGGUCAUGGAUGUUUCUGAUUGGGAUCCAUUCGUCUACUGAUGAGUCUGCAUCUGGAACAACAAGAUUGGAGUGAAGCCAUGCAGAAUUGAGGAUAUGCAUCCAUAGUUAUAUAGAUGCUCUGCUUCUUAACAUGGGUGAUGUCCAUUUGCCAAAUUUCAUUGGCAAUAAAGGAUUAGAAGACCUGGAAUACCAUAUUCUGGAAGGUGAAUGACCUGGAGUUACAACCAAAAAUUAACUACCCAGCAAGACUGAGAAUCAUCUUUCAAAGGAGAAGGAUUUUCAAUGAAGUAAGAGACUUUCAAUCAUUUCUAUUGAGAAAACCAGAACUAAACAGAAAGUUUGAUCUUCGAACACAGGACUCAAAAGAUAUUGGAUCUCAAACCAUGAGAAUUCUUUCCUGGAGGGAGCAUAGGAGUGUGGAAAGGAAGGCAAGCUGUAUAGCCUUUUACUAUGCUCCUAGCUUUCUCUUUUGUUAUCCCAAAUUGCAAAUGUAUAGCUCAAGCUGUCUGAUGAUUAAAAAAAAAUAGGACCUGAAAGUCUAUUAUGAAAGUGGUUAUGCAAAAUAUAAUACUUA